GUCUAUGGCCAUACUACCCUGAACAUGCCCGAUCUCGUCAGCUAAGCAGGGUUGGGCCUGGUUAGUACUUGGAUAGGAGAAUGUCAAUCAGAUC
rnacentral:rRNA from 1 species